GCUGCAGGAAGGAGUGAUCUGAAAUAGGAGGCUGGUGACGUCACUGGAAGAUUAAAAACGAGGAUUACAGGAAAAGUGGUAAAGGGAAAUGUCUCAGGGACCUGCUGUAGACUUUGACCUUAUGAAUGCACUGGACUGGAGCAACGGUAUCGCGACCCUUCCUGGAAGUGAAAUACGGUUUCGGCUCUGUGAGUUUGGCACCUUGGAAAUUAUUACAGAUUCUGACACUACUAUCGCUCCUCCUAAUGGCCACAUUCAAGAAAAAUGCCUUACAAGCACCAUUUGCCCACCCGCUAUACAGGAGAGUAAAGGCA